UUAAGUUCAGCGGGUAGUCCUACCUGAUUUGAGGUCAAAUGUUCAAUAGCUGUCCCAGGGAGACAGUUGGAAGCUGAACAAAGUAGAAAGCAGCCUUGAUGUAGAUAAUUAUCACACCAGUGACAGACCGCAAACGGUUCCGCUAAUGCAUUUCAGGGGAGCUGACUUAGGAAUAAGGCCAGCAAAAUCCCCCAAGAUCC
rnacentral:misc_RNA from 1 species